GAUCGGGGGCCUGAUGGGGGCCGGGAGCGGAGGGGAAGUGCUCCCGCGGUGGGCGGCAGCCGGGGAGGAAGAUUCCACACAUUCCUGGACGCGGAGGAGGCUGUCGUCGGCGGGGCGCCCUGAAGCUCCUGCAACGUUACUGGACGCCCCGCGGCCUUAUAUGGGCCCGCCGGGGCCUGGCCGGCGCCACUAGGCUAGAAACUGCCCGGCCCGGGCCCUCCGCAGCACUCCGGAGUCCUCCCCAGUCCCGUCCAGGGCGCUGCGCCUCCCUCUCUGGCCUGCUUCUGCGACCUUGGGCGAGUCGCCUGUCCUCUGUGACUCAGUGGCCCUAAAAGGUAAAGCGGGAUUAGGAAGUGUACUUGCUUCAUAACGUUGCAGGGGAGGAUGGAGUUAAUCCGUACAAAGGGCUUGGUGCAUGCCUGAGGAGCGGAAAGUGCUCCAUCCAUGGUGCCUUUUACUAGCUUUCUGUUCAGAGGAUCCUGCGGCCCACUGUCCACACCAGGCAGAAUUUGGGUAGCCGGGAGUCAAAGAUGGUGAGGGUACCCGCCCCGGAGGCUUGCAGGAUGGGCGUGGAGUCAUCAUUCAGAGGAGCUGAACACUGGGAGUGACAAGCAGGGCAAACUGUGAGGUGCUGAUGGUUGCAGGAGUGAGAGUGAAGGGCCUUUUCCGUCCGCCUUGCAACCCCUCCUCCCACUCUGCUGAGUGUACCGCCCUCGACUUCAUGGCAGACACUUCAAUCAGCCAGAACGUAGGCAGGCGUGUGGACACCAGCAUGCAUCCGUGCAUGCCCCGUUAGGACAGUGGCCCGUCUAGAAUGACUGGCAGCUAAGGAACAGGAAGUAUGCCCCUCUUGGCACUGGGUUUUAGCCCGGGUGUUGGGACUGGUCUGCAGGGGAGAGGAGUCCAGGGGAGAGGGCUUACCUGGAGUCAUCCUUUGGGUGGGUUUGGGGGUUUCAUUUCCUUUUCCUAUAGUGGGUGUGUGUACGUCUGCUCCAGACCUCAUCUGGGUGUUCUCAUCGGACCCCGAAUCCAGGUGAUUCCUCUCUCACCCCUAUUCUGCUCACACGGAGAAAGAAGCCUGUGGGUCAAGUAGUUUAUAUAUCAGGCAUGUUCCAGAAGAAGUAAGGUGCCCAGUGCCAAGGAGGACAGCCACGCCCUUGCAGACAUUCAGAAACAACCAGCAAGGACUGACCAGGUAGCUCAUCCUCUGUGGACCCCUCCCAGGUGUGAUUCGGAGAAUGAAGGAAAUACAGAGAGAUUCAAGUCGUUCCUGAGCAUUCUGCCCUCUUGCUCACAUAUCCCAUUAUGAUGUGAUGAAAGUCCCAGAAAGGAUGCUCCUAAGUUAUCCAAACAUUUGUAAAAUGGAGACAUUGUUUCUGCCUGAGAACAGGGAGCCACUAAUGAGGCAGAGUAGCCUCUGGCCCACGUUUCCUUUCCUUUUAAACUCUGAAUUCUCUUCUUCCAGGAAGGCUUCCUGUGAUGCCGAGGUUCCAGAUAACCCCUCACACUCACAGAAGUCCACUCUGGCUCUCACCUGCUGACAUGUUGCUUGAGAAGUGUUUGUAGAGUUCUGUUUUCUUAGUCUUGUUUCACAAAUCAGGUUGUAAGGUCUGCGGAAGGGGAUCAAGUCUUUUAAAAUUUUCUCUCUCCUCUUUUCUGCCUUUCCACGGGCCACAGCUCUGCCCAGUGACAUUCUGAACACGUUUUAGAAGCUUUCCUAUAGUCCGGACCAGCACUUUAGCUUUACAGCUUAGACACUGUCAGACAUAUCAACUGUAAGAUGAACUACUAUUUCAUGUACCACUGAGAAGGAAAAAAAAUGCUGCCAAUUAAACUACGUAAUGAAAUCAU